rnacentral:rRNA from 1 species
GACGACGGUGACCGCGUGCCUUUUGUAGAAUGAGCCUGCGAGUCGCGGCAUGCGGCGAGGUUAAGGGACACCGAGCCGCAGCGAAAGCGAGCCUGAACAGGGCGAUUUGAGUCGCAUGCCGCGGACGCGAAGCCGGGUGAGCUAUCCAUGGGCAGGGUGAAGCGGGGGUAAGACCCCGUGGAGGCCCGAACCCACUUCGGUUGAAAACGGAGGGGAUGACCCGCGGAUAGGGGUGAAAGGCCUAUCAAACCCGGAGAUAUCUCGUUCUCCCCGAAACAGCUUUAGGGCUGGCCCCGGGCAUUGACCAUCGGAGGUAGAGCACUGGACCGGCGAGGGGGCCUCACCGCCUACCGACCCAGACCAAACUCCGAAUGCCGAUGGUUUGGACCCCGGGAGUCAGAGCGCGUGGGCUAAGCUGCGCGCUCGAGAGGGAAACAGCCCAGACCGCCCGCCAAGGCCCCAAAGGCCGUGCUAAGUGGCAAAGGAUGUGCGCCCGCCCAGACAACCAGGAUGUUGGCUUAGAAGCAGCCAUGCAUUCAAAGAGUGCGUAACAGCUCACUGGUCGAGUGGGGGCGCGCCGACAAUGCGCGGGGCUCAAGCACGGCGCCGAAGCGGCGGAAUCAUUCAUUUGAUUGGUAGGGGAGCUUUCCAUGCCGGGCGAAGCCGGAGGCGCGAGCCCCGGUGGACGGCAUGGAAGUGAGGAUGCAGGCAUGAGUAGCGAGAGAGCGGCGAGAAACCGCUCCGCCGAAAACCCAAGGUUUCCUGGGCGAGGCUAAUCCCCCCAGGGUCAGCCGGGAGCUAAGGCGAGGCCGAGAGGCGCAGCCGAUGCACGACGGGCAGACAUUCCCGUGCCGGCGCGGGCGCGCUACGACCGAUGGGACGACGGGGAAGGAUACGCGAGCGGGGUUCUGGACGUCCCCGUGAAAGCGCGUAGGGAGGGGCCCAGGGAAAUCCGGUCCCCACAUAUCCCGAGACGCGAGACGAGCCGCACGGCGAAGUCGCGGAUUCCAUGCCUCCUAGAAAAAUCCCUAGGCAGCGCCCACGCCGCCCGUACCAAAACCGACACAGGUGGGUAGGAAGAGCAUUCCGAGGCGAUCGGGGCAACCAUGGUCAAGGAACUCGGCAUAAUCGUCCCGUAACUUAGGGAGAAGGGACGCCCCCCAGCGUGAACCGGCUCGCCCGGGAAGCGCCGGGGGGCCGCAGCGAAAGGGCCCAAGCGACUGUUUACCAAAAACACAGGACUCUGCCAAGCCGCGAGGCGAAGUAUAGGGUCUGACGCCUGCCCGGUGCCGGAAGGUCACGGGGAUCCGUUAGAGAGAUCGAAGCGGUGAACCCAAGCCCCGGUAAACGGCGGCCGUAACUAUAACGGUCCUAAGGUAGCGAAAUUCCUUGUCGGGUAAGUUCCGACCUGCACGAACGGCGCAACGACUUGGGCGCUGUCUCGACCAUGGGCCCGGCGAAAUUGCAUUAUCCGUGAAGAUGCGGAUUCCCCGCGGAAGGACGGAAAGACCCCGUGAACCUUUACUGCAGCUUGGCAUUGGCCGCAGGCGCGGCGCGUAGAGGAUAGGCAGGAGGCUGCGAAGCCCGGGCGCCAGCCCGGGCGGAGCCGACCUUGGAAUACUGCCCCCGUCGCGUCGGCGGCCUAACCCGGGGACGGCCCGGGGACCGUGCCAGGCGGGCAGUUUGACUGGGGCGGUCGCCUCCCAAAGAGUAACGGAGGCGCGCGCAAGGUCCGCUCAGGACGGUCGGCAACCGUCCGCGGAGCGCAAGAGCACAAGCGGGCCUGACUGCGAGGCAGACAAGCCGAGCAGGGACGAAAGUCGGCUCUAGUGAUCCGGCGGCCCCGAGUGGAAGGGCCGUCGCUCAACGGAUAAAAGGUACUCCGGGGAUAACAGGCUGAUCUUGCCCAAGAGUCCACAUCGACGGCAAGGUUUGGCACCUCGAUGUCGGCUCAUCGCAUCCUGGGGCUGGAGUCGGUCCCAAGGGUACGGCUGUUCGCCGUUUAAAGCGGUACGCGAGCUGGGUUCAGAACGUCGUGAGACAGUUCGGUCCCUAUCCUCCGCGGGCGCAGGAGAAUUGAGGAGGGCUGCCCCUAGUACGAGAGGACCGGGGCGGACGGGCCUCUGGUGUCCCGGUUGUCGACCAACGGCACGGCCGGCUAGCCACGCCCGGAACGGAUAACCGCUGAAGGCAUCUAAGCGGGAAGCCGUCUCCGAGAUGAGUUCUCCCUUCGGUAAGCCCCCAUGUAGAACACGUGGUCGAUAGGCCGCAGCUGCAAGCGCCGCGAGGCGUUCAGGCGAGCGGUACUAAUAGGGCGAGCCCUUGCACCC